rnacentral:rRNA from 1 species
UACGUAGGGUGCGAGCGUUGUCCGGAAUUAUUGGGCGUAAAGAGCUCGUAGGCGGUGUGUCACGUCGGCCGUGAAAACCUGCAGCUUAACUGUGGGCGUGCGGUCGAUACGGGCAUCACUGGAGUUCGGCAGGGGAGACUGGAAUUCCUGGUGUAGCGGUGAAAUGCGUAGAGAUCGGAAGGAACACCAGUGGCGAAGGCGGCUACCUGGACAGAUACUGACGCUGAGGCGCGAGAGCGUGGGGAGCAAACAGG